UUCCAUUUUCAGGCAAACAAAACUUGUACUGAUCAAUCAUUGUAAGACGAAUCAUAACUUGGCACUCAAUGCAGAGUAUCGUCACAAGACACCUUAUGGAUUGGAGUAUGAGAUAACCGCUUGUACAAAAUUUAACAAACACAAAGUUGAGGACACAAAUAAUCAAUUUAUGAUAGUCACA